rnacentral:rRNA from 1 species
AGGGCUCAAACUUCAGGGUAAACCCACCGAAAGGUGGGCUGCUUCGGCAAUCCUGUAGAGGUGCUGCAUGGCUGUCGUCAGCUCGUGUCGUGAGAUGUUGGGUUAAGUCCCGCAACGAGCGCAACCCUUGCUCUUAGUUACCAGCGCGUCAUGGCGGGGACUCUAAGAAGACUGCCGUCGUAAGGCGGAGGAAGGUGGGGAUGACGUCAAGUCCUCAUGGCCCUUAUGUCCUGGGCUACAAACGUCCUACAAUGGCCGGUACAGUGAGUCGCGAGACCGCGAGGUUUAGCUAAUCUCUCAAAGCCGGCCCCAGUUCGGAUUGCAGUCUGCAACUCGACUGCAUGAAGG